ACGAUGAAGAGUUUGAUCCUGGCUCAGGAUGAACGCUAGCGGCAGGCCUAACACAUGCAAGUCGAGGGGUAACAGGGAGCUUGCUCCGCUGACGACCGGCGCACGGGUGCGCAACGCGUAUGCAAUCUACCUCUUACUAGGGGAUAGCCCAGAGAAAUUUGGAUUAAUACCCUAUAUUAUAUGGAGUCGGCAUCGGCAUUAUAUUAAAGGUUACGGUAAGAGAUGAGCAUGCGUCCCAUUAGUUAGUUGGUAAGGUAACGGCUUACCAAGACUUCGAUGGGUAGGGGUCCUGAGAGGGAGAUCCCCCACACUGGUACUGAGACACGGACCAGACUCCUACGGGAGGCAGCAGUGAGGAAUAUUGGACAAUGGGCGGAAGCCUGAUCCAGCCAUGCCGCGUGCAGGAAGACUGCCCUAUGGGUUGUAAACUGCUUUUAUACGGGAAGAAUAAGGUCUACGUGUAGACUGAUGACGGUACCGUAAGAAUAAGGACCGGCUAACUCCGUGCCAGCAGCCGCGGUAAUACGGAGGGUCCGAGCGUUAUCCGGAAUUAUUGGGUUUAAAGGGUCCGUAGGCGGGCUGUUAAGUCAGGGGUGAAAGUUUGCAGCUCAACUGUAAAAUUGCCUUUGAUACUGGCGGUCUUGAGUUAUAUUGAAGUGGCUAGAAUAUGUAGUGUAGCGGUGAAAUGCAUAGAUAUUACAUAGAAUACCGAUUGCGAAGGCAGGUCACUAAGUAUUAACUGACGCUGAUGGACGAAAGCGUGGGUAGCGAACAGGAUUAGAUACCCUGGUAGUCCACGCCGUAAACGAUGGAUACUAGCUGUGUGGUUUUCGGACUGCGCGGCCAAGCGAAAGUGAUAAGUAUCCCACCUGGGGAGUACGUUCGCAAGAAUGAAACUCAAAGGAAUUGACGGGGGCCCGCACAAGCGGUGGAGCAUGUGGUUUAAUUCGAUGAUACGCGAGGAACCUUACCAGGGCUUAAAUGUAGAUUGACAGGUUUAGAGAUAGACUUUCCUUCGGGCAAUUUACAAGGUGCUGCAUGGUUGUCGUCAGCUCGUGCCGUGAGGUGUCAGGUUAAGUCCUAUAACGAGCGCAACCCCUGUCGUUAGUUGCCAGCAUGU
rnacentral:ncRNA from 1 species